rnacentral:sRNA from 1 species
GCGGGGAAACAGGAGUUAGGAUGGCUGGGGGGGAUACCCACCGGCUGAAGGCCGACUGUGAUUCCCUCUACCCCCACAAGGCGAUUUUGACCUCCUGAGGGCUGCUCUAGAGGACUCAGGCCCCGAAGCUGUCCCAGGGAGGUCCCCGCUGCAUCCCAUCACCCAAACUGUGCCUCAUGGAGUCGAUGUUUAGCAGCCCUGCCGAGGCGGCGCUGCAGCGAGAGGCCGGGAUGCCAGGACUGCUCACUCCUCUUCCGGACCUGGACCGAGUGUACGAGCUGGAGCGAGUCGCUGGAUUUGUCCGCGACCUGGGGUGUGAACGAGUUGCCUUGCAGUUCCCUGACCAGCUAUUGGGAGAUGCUGUGGCUGUGGCUGCACGACUGGAGGAGACGACAGGGUCAAAGAUGUUCAUUCUGGGUGACACAGCCUACGGCAGGUGUGAACUUGGCCUUAGGUGGGCCAGGCCUGGGGAUCCGGGGCUCAUGGGGUUUUACUUCUAUGACAGUGAUUGCCUUCAAUGGUGGUGUUUCUCCUUGAUGAUAAUGCUGCUGCGUGGAUGUGCUGGGUGCUGAGCAAGCUGGAGCUCAGGCUGU